rnacentral:rRNA from 1 species
CAGUCGCCGCGGUAAUACGGAGGGUGCAAGCGUUAAUCGGAAUUACUGGGCGUAAAGCGCACGCAGGCGGUCUGUCAAGUCAGAUGUGAAAUCCCCGGGCUUAACCUGGGAACUGCAUUUGAAACUGGCAGGCUAGAGUCUUGUAGAGGGGGGUAAUUCCAGGUGUAGCGGUGAAAUGCGUAGAGAUCUGGAGGAAUACCGGUGGCGAAGGCGGCCCCCUGGACAAAGACUGACGCUCAGGUGCGAAAGCGUGGGGAGCAAACAGGAUUAGAUACCCGGGUAGUCCCUGUCUCUUAUACAC